AAUACAGGAAACCAAGUAAGACCAUAGUUCAGCUAAGGACUUAGGCGUGCUUCGACAUGCCGACUUCCAAGUGCUGCAUGAAUAAGAGAGGAGAAAACCAAAAUGAAGGGACGGAAAGCAGGAAGAGAAAGCUGGGAAUGACAUAUUAAGAUUUUGCAAGGAUCCACCUCUGAAAUUCUGACAGAACUCUGGACCAGAUUUUCUCAUCUGCCAUUCCAGUAAUGAACCGUGCCUUCUGAAUUCAAUAUAGAAAGUAGGGAAACAAGUCAUGAAAAUAACAAUGUCCAUCCCCUUUGACACUUACGUAAUUGAGAGAGACAUCAAAGACUUCACUUCAGGACAACGUGUUCCAUCCUGGAACUGCCAUUGUUACAAAACAGAUUGUUUGAACUGUCUUUGUAGUCUAUAUUACCAUUUCUUUGAGGACUAACUGCAGACCCCAGGAUAUGAGAUUCAAGUCACUGUCCCUUACUGCUCAGAACAUGGCCAAGCAAGUGAGAUUAUUAUUAAUCAUUAGCUUUCCAAAUAAUUUAAUUUUUUGUUCUUUCAUAAAGUAUAUGUUUUGACUGGUA
rnacentral:lncRNA from 1 species